rnacentral:rRNA from 1 species
AUGAUGAUCAUAAUUCAAAUGAUGAUCCUGAAGUCGAUGAACAUUCCUUGGAUGACAAUAUUGAUGCUGAUGUUAAUGAGGACAAUACGGGAGAGGAAGAUUCGCAGCCUUCACCUGAUGCUCGGAAUGGGGCCGGUGAGAGAAUUGGGCCUGGAGUUCCCUGCCCGCCCUGAUGAUGUCGAAGCUGUAGGUUGCUAUCCAAAUGUGUCAGUUGCUUAUCGGAUCCUCUUGACUAUACCGGUGACUGUAGCCUCAGCUGAAAGAAGUUUCUCUAAACUGAAACUACUGAAAAAUUGUUUGAGGUCAACUAUGUUACAAGAGAGAUUGAAUGGCUUGGCUACCUGUUGUAUUGAGAAGGAUAUCUUGGACAGAAUUGAUCUUGAUACUCUCAUCAAUGAUUUUGCAUCCCGAAAUGCUCGAAGAAGUUUUUUUGUGAAAAACUGA